rnacentral:lncRNA from 1 species
UGCGUCAGUCUAUUCAAAUCGAUCACCAUCCUCAUGAUGAUCCUAUGAUCGAGAGUAUUUAGGAAUCAAAUAUAUAUCACUAAUUCUCAAUAUUUUGAGAAUAUAUAUCAAAACCAAUUCCAUAGAUGAUUCAAGGAUACAUCACACUUAAAUAAAAAAUAAAUUUACUCUUUUAUUAAUCAAAUCAAUGUAUUGAGUAUAAAA